rnacentral:rRNA from 1 species
GACGAACGCUGGCGGCGUGCUUAACACAUGCAAGUCGAACGGAAAGGCACUGCGUUUGUGCUGUUCUCGAUUGGCGAACGCGUGAGUAACACGUGAGUAACCUGCCCUUGUCUUUGGGAGAACUUCACGAAACUGGGGCUAAUAUCGUAUAGCAUCUCCUGCUGCGUUGUGGGCGUUGGAAAGUUUCGGCUGUUGGGGAUGGUCUCGCGGCUUAUGAGCUUGUUGGUGGGGGAGUGGCUUACCAAGGCUUUCACGGGUAGGCGGCCUGAGAGGGUGACCGGCCACAUUGGGACUGAGAGAGGGCGCAGAGUGCAACGGGGGGCAGCGGUGGGGAGUAUUACACAGUGGGCGGAAGCGUGAUGCAGCAACGUCGCGUGCGGGAUGCCGGCCUUCGGGUUAAGAACCGCUUUCGCAUGUGACGCAGCGGGAGUGACGGUACUCAGUAAAGAAGCACCGGCUAACUACGUG